CUGACUUUGACUUCUUGACUUUAUGCGUGUUCACGAAAACUAUAUUAACUAUAUAUUAACUAUAACAACACAAUCGAUUAACUGAACAAUUUUUUAUAGAUAAUUUCUUUGAUAUUUCCGUGAAAUCAAUAUGAUUAGAUUCAAGUUCGAGGAAUCGCAGAGAGAUUGAGGAAAAAACCAGCGAUUAUCUAAAUCGUAGAAAAAAAAAAAAAAAAAGAACGAGAAAAAGAGAGACGGAAAAAAUCACGUGAGACGACCGCGCACAACGGCAGUCGUAGUGACACUGACAGUGCUUCUGUCAUCGUGCUAUCACCACAUGGUCGCUAGCUCGGACUCGGCCUCGCCGCUUCGGCUAUCUUCGGCCGUACUCGAUUCCUUUCUCGAGAGGAUACAGUAUACGCGAGAGAGACGAAGAAGAAUCCUCGUGGACAAAAACAUAGAAAAAGAGAGCAAAGAGAAGGAAAAAGGAUGCAUUAGUUUGGGAUAAGAGAUGACUUCAUUCCGGCCACCGAAACGCGAUUAAACCACCUUUUUUAACCAAGAAGGAAUUGAAGAAAUCUUUCAACUUUGCUAACCCAGCAAGUUCUAUUUGCAGGCAUCUGAUUACUAAAUAGGCGCCAACUGCAAAUGAGUCACAGGGAUUCGAUAGCACAGAAUCAUCGUACCAGGAAAUUCGAAGUCGAGCACGUGUCGUUGCGUCAUCCAUGAGACCCUCUUCCGGUUUGAAACACGACUUCAUUCUUCCACGAAUACAGAAUUAUGGCGACAAAUUUUGUCGAUUGUUGGAAAUGUUAUCUUUCGAUAUUAUCUUUGGACAGUUCGAAAGUCCUGUUCGAGAGUUUUGUUCGAAAGUCGCAUAACGUGUGAAGUGUUCCAGGAAAUUUAACCGAAAGAGGUUAAGUAUGAUUUUUUUUAUUACGCGGAAUUAAAUAUAAUGAUUACUUUUUAGUUGAGUAUAUUAGAAUUCUUAUUAACUUUUACGUACUUCGAAUUUCAAACGAUAAUUUUGAAAUAACAAUUUUCAUUUUUGAUGACCAAGAAAAUUUGCUAAUUUUUCGUGAAUUAUAGACAUAAAAAAAUAUUAAACGUUAACCGCCAUAAAGCUACUACGUCUUUCAGAUCUCAUUUAAGCCCGUCUCGACGUAAUCAGUCUCUCUUCAAACCAGCAUCUAGGGCUCUUAAUUGAAGUCUGGCCUUUCCUGAGCCUCGAUUAACGAUUACCAUUGAGAACAGUGCUUCGUUGUUGGUCGCACGCCGCCUUUCCUACAAGUAACGCAUACGUUCUACCUCUAUUGCUUAAACAAACACGUUUAAACAGUGCUUUGAAACAAUUUUGCACGUGAAAAGCAGUCGAAAAAAAUCUAGAGUCACAUUUCUCACGCAACAACCGCGUGUCACUUAUUUCGAUUAUAUCGAAAAGGAAUUUAUUUCGAGGUAGAAAAGGUAUUUGAACGAGUUACGAAAGAACUUAAUCCGAUAAAACAAUAAUAGAAUAUUAUUAAUUAUCAGGAAAGAAUUUUUAAGCAAAGAGAAUAGAACGGAUGUUAUUAAUGAUUUUAAGAAGUUCAAAAAGAUUAACAGUGAGAUAUCUGCGUCGACGAAAGAUAUUGGAGUGGGGGAAAUUGAAUUCUGGCAAUUGGAACUCGGCAUUCGUGUAACUAAGAUCGUCGCAUUUAUCGCGAUAUUAUUUAAAUAUAAAUAUUUUAUUAUAUAUCGUCAUUUGUAUUCAAUACGAAUUACUAAUAUCUUAUACGAAUAUUAAUGACGAUCAAAAUGAUUAUCUUGAUAAAUUUAAAAUGGAAACAAUCGAAGUUUCUAGAACACGAAAGAAUCACUCAGUGUUUUUUCCACGUAUAAGCGACGCCAUACGUCACGUUUAUAACACGACUCAAAAAUACUUGGACUGGUCUGUCAGUAGUCGAUAAAACGACAUAGAUAAGAACAAAGUGCUCUGACUAACCAUUUUUAGCACCGAACUCGAAACAAAGCCGAAGGACUGGGGAAUCAAGAGGCAGUGGUGGUCCCUCGAAUGGUUCAUGUACAGAGGUGAACGACACGAAGGAGAACGGGCUUCCCCAGGGUAAUUUUAGAAAUUCCUUGCACGUCAUGGCCCUGUCCUCCUUUGUGCUCGCAUUCAUGUGGAAUUGUAGUAGUCCUGCCGUGGAUUGCUUCUUUCAAGGUACUCGUUGUAGAUUUUACGAAGUAAACGAUGAGAGAAGAUUGGAAAAUUGACACUGAUGAAGAAAUUUGAAUUCUUUAAAGAUUUAUUUUUAAGAAAAUGUAUGAUAUUAUCAAUGAAGUUAUUUUAUCGAAUAAAUAUUU